rnacentral:rRNA from 1 species
GACGAACGCUGGCGGCGUGCUUAACACAUGCAAGUCGAACGGAAAGGCCCUGCUUUUGUGGGGUGCUCGAGUGGCGAACGGGUGAGUAACACGUGAGUAACCUGCCCUUGACUUUGGGAUAACUUCAGGAAACUGGGGCUAAUACCGGAUAGGAGCUCCUGCUGCAUGGUGGGGGUUGGAAAGUUUCGGCGGUUGGGGAUGGACUCGCGGCUUAUCAGCUUGUUGGUGGGGUAGUGGCUUACCAAGGCUUUGACGGGUAGCCGGCCUGAGAGGGUGACCGGCCACAAUGGGACUGAGAUACGGCCCAGACUCCUACGGGAGGCAGCAGUGGGGAAUAUUGCACAAUGGGCGGAAGCCUGAUGCAGCAACGCCGCGUGCGGGAUGACGGCCUUCGGGUUGUAAACCGCUUUCGCCUGUGACGAAGCGUGAGUGACGGUAAUGGGUAAAGAAGCACCGGCUAACUACGU